GAGAAGAGGAAAGAGGAGGAGAGUUCUUUCUUUGUCUCAGAAGAUCUGGGGAGGGUUUAAGGAGCGGCGGCGGCCCUAGAGCGCAGUGGCGAGAGGAGGCGACGGAGGGCUUGAAGGGAGCGAGACCUAGGCUCGGUUCGGAGCGGCGGUUCAGGGAACGGCGGCGGACACAGGAUACAGGGGUGCCGUCGGCGGCGGCGUAGCCGGGGGAACGAGCUACGUAGCCGAGCCGAGGUCACGUACUGGGUCCCAGCGUACCACCCGACCCGCUCGGACGGCCGGACGGGGCGUCGGGGGAGCGGUUGUACCCGGGUCGGCGGGGAGGAGCGGAGCGCUCCAUCGACCUCUUCUUCGACAGCCUAGCCUCCGAUGGCGUCCUGUUCUAGCAGUCGAUGACAACACAGACGAACAACUUCUUCCCACACGGCCGUCCUCCUCCGUGACAACUCUCACGAGCUAGACGUUGUCCCGCUCGAACCCAACGUGGCGUCUGGACCCGUGCGUUCUAUAGCCUCUGACUCUCCUAUCACGUCAUAUAUAAGAAACAAGAGGCAAGCCUCGGACAGGUGAGUAAGGUAAAAUACUUCCGAGACCAAGAGUUGGAGGUUGUACUAAGGGAAAGAAAGCACGGAGGUUACCUCCGAUGGUCGCCGUUCUUGAGGUGCUCAGUAGGACCGUAACGUCUACGUCUCGAAAGGUCCCCGCUGGAUAAACAAGGGCCGGUGCGGCUAUAGUUGAUGGAACUAGGUGACACUGACAGGGGUUGGUACGAGUUGAGGGACCCUUUAAGAUGAGCUUCGAGUAACGCAGUUUAUCAGUUGGUUUUCGUGGUGUAGCACCCGACCGGGUGGUACCGGCCUCUACUCUUACUAGCGAGUUUCACCUCAGCCUCUGCUGCGCUGUUUAGUAUAAAGCCACAAAAAUCCACUCUUCUAUCUACUUCACUCCCGAGUUCUCGAUUAUAAAGGCGCGACUACAAAACUUGUUUGUUCUUUUUCUUCCUAUGUGAUACGAACUGUUUGCUAAGGUACUGGACUAUCUACGGAUACCAUACAUUGAUACAUUCAACUUGAUCGACACACUCAAUACGGACUGUAAAAUAAGAGAAGUACCACCACGACACAUGUCUAAGUACGAAGAACAAGUAUAAGUCGUUUCAGAAGUCAGUUUGUGGAAAUGAAUUAAGAACAAACCAUUCUUUGGAAGAUAUUCACACACGAGUUUCGAGCGAUAUCAUACAUACAAUAAACUUAUAUAAUACGAUAAAUAGAAUUGUAAGUUUAAACCACACGGAUUUAUCGUUCUUUACUCGUUACAACUUAGGAACCUAAUUUCCGUUGUAUUAUUAUACAAAAACCUCUAAAGAACAACACGGGUACGAUUACUAAACCCACUAAACCGCACUCGCGUUGUCGGUGACGACGUAUAAAGUGUUAAGUCUCAAUAAACGACGCCACGAACGCACGUAAACGGUAACUCAUUAGGUUACAACUUUCCUCCGACUUCGUGCUGUGUAGUAAAACGGUAUCAAAUUACCCGAUUGCCGACUACACACAUAACGGAAGAUGAAAAGUACUCAAACAUUUCAUAAACAAGGAAGAUAGUUACUUUGGCUGUUGCCGGUGAAACCCAGUAGUUUGACUUGGAUAUAAAGAUACCUUAGAACGCCACUCCAACUCCGCAGUAGUUUGACUUGGAUAUAAAGAUACCUUAGAACGCCACUCCAACUCCGUAAUUACAAGUAACCUCACGGUUUAAGUACAUGUACUUUUUUGAAAGACUUGAACAUAUAUCAUAAAAUACAUACGUUCAAUAUAUAGGAUAUAAAAUACGUACAAGAAAAAAGUAGAAUUAAGAGUGGGUACCAACCGUAAAACCUGGCAUAAUUACGAGUACCCGUACCUCUAUACUACAACGUGCUGUACUCAUCCACUACCUUCUCCUCUACACUUGUACAACCGGGGUAACCUAACUUCGGCCUCCUACUUCAUUGAACAACGGUAUGGAGGUAACGUGUAUGAGAACCCCUAUAUAUUACUCUAACACCACAACAGCAAGAAAGUAAUAGCUAUAAUUCCAAUCAGGUUUCACUAUACGAAUUACACAGUGGUAAAGAUCGCCUUUUACUACACACGAACUCCAGCUCGUGUACAGUUCACUCCACCUUGUUUCUGUAUCUGUCUAAACCUCAAUCCACAGUAGUGUUUAAGUGAUAACGGUCUAUACACCUGAACAAUCGAUAACGGUUUACGAGAGGCAGGGAUCGCCUGUGGAGCUAUAUCCUGAAUCGCCUGUUUCCCUUUCGGCUCAUCCUUCUUGUUCAGGAGAAGGUUCCACUUUUACUUUCGGUCAUACAAACUAACAAGGGUUACACA
rnacentral:rRNA from 1 species